CCUACGGGUGGCAGCAGUGGGGGAUAUUGCACAAUGGGGGGAACCCUGAUGCAGCGACGCCGCGUGGGUGAAGGAGGGUUUCGGCGCGUAAAGCCCUUUUGGCAGGGAAGAAGAUGACGGUACCUAACCAAGAAGCCCCGGCUAACUACGUGCCAGCAGCCGCGGUAAUACUUAGGGGGAAAGCGUUAUCCGGAUUUCCUGGGGGUAAAGGGGGCGCAGACGGUAAUGCAAGCCAGGGGUGAAAGCCCGGGGGCGAACCCCGGGACUGCUCUUGAAACUGCAGGGCUGGAGUACAGGAGGGGCAGGCGGAAUUACUGGUGUAGCGGUGAAAUGCGUAGAGAUUAGGAGGAACACCGGUGGCGAAGGCGGCCUGCUGGACUGUAACUGACGUUGAGGCCCGAAGGCGUGGGGAGCAAACAGGAUUAGAUACCCCUGUAGUC
rnacentral:rRNA from 1 species